UUAUUUGGGGGCCUGGCCUAUUACAUGCAAGUCGAGCGAACAGAUAAGGAGCUUGCUCCUUUGACGUUAGCGGCGGACGGGUGAGUAACACGUGGGUAACCUACCUAUAAGACUGGAAUAACUCCGGGAAACCGGGGCUAAUGCCGGAUAACAUUUAGAACCGCAUGGUUCUAAAGUGAAAGAUGGUUUUGCUAUCACUUAUAGAUGGACCCGCGCCGUAUUAGCUAGUUGGUAAGGUAAUGGCUUACCAAGGCAACGAUACGUAGCCGACCUGAGAGGGUGAUCGGCCACACUGGAACUGAGACACGGUCCAGACUCCUACGGGAGGCAGCAGUAGGGAAUCUUCCGCAAUGGGCGAAAGCCUGACGGAGCAACGCCGCGUGAGUGAUGAAGGGUUUCGGCUCGUAAAACUCUGUUAUUAGGGAAGAACAAACGUGUAAGUAACUGUGCACGUCUUGACGGUACCUAAUCAGAAAGCCACGGCUAACUACGUGCCAGCAGCCGCGGUAAUACGUAGGUGGCAAGCGUUAUCCGGAAUUAUUGGGCGUAAAGCGCGCGUAGGCGGUUUCUUAAGUCUGAUGUGAAAGCCCACGGCUCAACCGUGGAGGGUCAUUGGAAACUGGGAGACUUGAGUGCAGAAGAGGAAAGUGGAAUUCCAUGUGUAGCGGUGAAAUGCGCAGAGAUAUGGAGGAACACCAGUGGCGAAGGCGACUUUCUGGUCUGUAACUGACGCUGAUGUGCGAAAGCGUGGGGGAUCAAACAGGAUUAGAUACCCUGGUAGUCCACGCCGUAAACGAUGAGUGCUAAGUGUUAGGGGGUUUCCGCCCCUUAGUGCUGCAGCUAACGCAUUAAGCACUCCGCCUGGGGAGUACGACCGCAAGGUUGAGACUCAAAGGAAUGGACGGGACCCGCACAAGCGGUGGAGCAUGUGGGUUUAAUUCGAAGCAACGCGGAAGAACCUUACCAAAUCUUGACAUCCUUUGACCACUCUAGAGAUAGA
rnacentral:rRNA from 1 species